AUUUAUUGGGCGUAAGGCGCGCGCAGGUGUUUCUUAAGUCUGAUUGUGAAAGCCCACGGCUCAACCGUGGAGGGUCAUGGAAACUGGGAGACUUGAGGUGCAGAAGAGAAAAGUGGAAUCCCAUGUGUUAGCGGGUGAAAUGCGUAGAGAUUAUGGAGGACCACCGUUGGCGAAAGGCGACUUUCUGGUCUGUAACUGCCAUGAAGCCGGGAAAGCGUGGGGAGCAAACAGGAUUAGAUACCCGGUUAGUCCACGCGUUAACCGAUGAGUGUAAAGUGUUAGAGGGUUUCCGCCCUUUAGUGCGGAAGUUAAGGCAUUAACCAUUCGGCCUGGGAAGUACGCCCGCAAGGCUGAAAUUCAAAGGAAUUGACGGGGGCCCGCCCAGCCGGUGGACCAUGUGGUUUAAUUGGAAGCAACGCGAAGACCCUUACAAGUUCUUGACAUCUUCUGACAACCCUAGAAAUAGGGUUUUUCCUUGGGAAGCAGAGUGCCAGGUGGUGCAUGGUUUUCGUCAGCUCGUUUCGUGAGAUGUUGGGUUAAGUCCCGCAACGAGCCCAACCCUUGUUCUUAGUUCCCAUCAUUAAGUUGGCCAUUUUAAGGUGACGCCCGGUGCCAAACCGGAGGAAGGUGGGGAGGACGUCAAAUCUUCAUGCCCCUUAUGCCUUGGGCUCCCCACGUGUUCCAAUGGACGGUACAAAGAGCUGCAAGACCGCGAGGGGGAGUUAAUUUCAUAAAACCGUUUUUAGUUCGGAUUUUAGGCUCCAAUUCGCCUACAGGAAGCGGGAAUCGUUAGUAAUCGCGGAUCAGCAUGCCGCGGUGAAUACGUUCCCGGCCCUUGUCCCCACCGCCCGCCACCCCAAGAGAUUUAGUACCCCCGGAAGUCGAAGGGGAACCCUUUUGGAACCACCGCACUAAGCCUUAACAGAUUCCUNANCAACCAAAUUUUA
rnacentral:rRNA from 1 species